UAGGGAAUCUUCCACAAUGGACGAAAGUCUGAUGGAGCAACGCCGCGUGAGUGAAGAAGGUUUUCGGAUCGUAAAGCUCUGUUGUUGGUGAAGAAGGAUAGAGGCAGUAACUGGUCUUUAUUUGACGGUAAUCAACCAGGAAGUCACGGCUAACUACGCGCCAG
rnacentral:rRNA from 1 species